AAGAAUUUAAGUUAAAAAAACUUUUAGCCUUCAAAGCUAACCAUAGGGAUGUCCCCCCUAAUUCUUA
rnacentral:tRNA from 1 species